GCAACAGUCUGUCGGGCUGUAAAAACUGUCACUCUGAAACGUUCCCAAGUCACAGACCCACAAGAUACCUCAAAGAAGAAUUCCACAGAAUUGCAGAUCAUAUGUGAUGCAGCCUACAUCAUCUGUAAUGUGGAAGCAAAGUGGCCUGGGUCUGUGCACGACUCUCGAGUCUUUCCUGAGUGUACACUGAGCGCUAGAUUUUCUCAUGGAGAGUUUAAUGGUUAUCUGCUGGGUUGCUGACCCCUUACCCUGAUCCUGAGCCCGGCC